CCUACGGGAGGCAGCAGUGGGGAAUAUUGCACAAUGGGGGAAACCCUGAUGCAGCAACGCCGCGUGAGUGAAGAAGUAUUUCGGUAUGUAAAGCUCUAUCAGCAGGGAAGAAGAAAGACGGUACCUGACUAAGAAGCCCCGGCUAACUACGUGCCAGCAGCCGCGGUAAUACGGAGGGGGCAAGCGUUAUCCGGAUUUACUGGGUGUAAAGGGAGCGUAGACGGCUGUGCAAGUCUGAAGUGAAAGCCCGUGGCUCAACCGCGGAACUGCAUUUGAAACUGUUUUUCUUGAGUACCGGAGAGGUCAUCGGAAUUCCUUGUGUAGCGGUGAAAUGCGUAGAUAUAAGGAAGAACACCAGUGGCGAAGGCGGAUGACUGGACGGCAACUGACGGUGAGGCGCGAAAGCGUGGGGAGCAAACAGGAUUAGAUACCCCUGUAGUC
rnacentral:rRNA from 1 species